rnacentral:rRNA from 1 species
AGUGAACGCUGGCGGCAGGCCUAACACAUGCAAGUCGAGCGGCAGCGCGUCCGACCACCCUCGGGUGGUCGGAUGGCGGCGAGCGGCGGACGGGUGAGGAAUGCAUCGGAAUCUGCCUCGUUGUGGGGGAUAACGUAGGGAAACUUACGCUAAUACCGCAUACGACCUACGGGUGAAAGUGGGGGACCUUCGGGCCUCACGCGAUGAGAUGAGCCGAUGCCGGAUUAGCUAGUUGGCGGGGUAAAGGCCCGACCAAGGCGACGAUCCGUAGCUGGUCUGAGAGGAUGAUCAGCCACACUGGAACUGAGACACGGUCCAGACUCCUACGGGAGGCAGCAGUGGGGAAUAUUGGACAAU